GAGCAAACAUAGCUCUUUUAGAAUUUUUCCCCCGCUGGCUUUCUGAUCUUGAUCAGAAAACCCAA
rnacentral:snRNA from 14 species